CGAGUGGGCGGGACGGGGUGGAGUAAUGUCUGGGAAACUGCCCGAUGGAGGGGGGUAACUACUGGAACGGUAGCUAAUACCGCAUAACGUCGCAAGACCAAAGAGGGGGACCUUCGGGCCUCUUGCCAUCGGAUGUGCCCAGAUGGGAUUAGCUAGUAGGUGGGGUAACGGCUCACCUAGGCGACGAUCCCUAGCUGGUCUGAGAGGAUGACCAGCCACACUGGAACUGAGACACGGUCCAG
rnacentral:rRNA from 1 species